UUACCUACGGCCAGGUGAACAGAGACCAGCGCCUGACCCAGAGUCAGGGCCCAGAGAUGGAGAGAGUGCAUGGACUUGACGGCCUUGACAGAGAGCAGCACCUCCUUCACUGAGUUGAACUCGAUCCCUUUAGGAGACCCUGAAACAACAACACGCUGGAGAUGAGUGUGUAAUGAACCGGGAGAACGUUGGUGCAUCUCAGUGUGUGCUCAACGCUGGAACUGUGAGAUUUUCUCAGCCGUUGCAGGGCCUGCCUAUUCAAAUAGUGGCUCGAGGGCGACACGUGGCCCAGACACAACCGCAGAGCGGCCCAGUCUGUGGUCGUUUGAGAAACGGAGAGGAUUGGUGAGUAACUAUAUAUUUCUAUAGUAGAACAGACCCUGAACGCAACACUGUGCAGCCAUUACUACCCAGAAUGCAUCACUUGUAUGUCUGUAGACAUGUUUUACUGUAGCCAUGUUAUGAUUGAAAAUCCUCACUUUAAUUUACCACAAAAAUCUACUCAAAGUCAACAGUUUUAUUCAUAAAUUCUGGUCCACAUUCUGUCAUCAUUUCCUGUUUGUUCGCCUUCACCAAAUGCGGUGUUGAAUUUCCUAGUUUUCAGUUUGUGGUGUUUCCAGUACCUUCCAUGAGUAUCCUGAAGACGUCUCUGAGGAUGGUCAGGGUGGUGCACAGGACAAAGACAGAGAACAGGAAGAAACCACAGGAACCAGAGAGAAGACCUCACAGGUAUGUGAUCUAUAUCUGACCCGAAAGAAGAUGAUUGUCGCCGCCACCAUGACGCCGACGCUCUGCAGCAGAUCCCCCACCACGUGGAUGAAGGCGGCGCGUACGCUGGUGUUGCCG